rnacentral:rRNA from 1 species
GACGAACGCUGGCGGCGUGCUUAACACAUGCAAGUCGAACGGAAAGGCCCUGCUUGCAGGGUACUCGAGUGGCGAACGGGUGAGUAACACGUGGGUGAUCUGCCCUGCACUUCGGGAUAAGCCUGGGAAACUGGGUCUAAUACCGGAUAGGAGCCAUUUUUAGUGUGAUGGUUGGAAAGUUUUUUCGGUGUAGGAUGAGCUCGCGGCCUAUCAGCUUGUUGGUGGGGUAAUGGCCUACCCAGGCGGCGACGGGUAGCCGGCCUGAGAGGGUGGACGGCCACAUUGGGACUGAGAUACGGCCCAGACUCCUACGGGAGGCAGCAGUGGGGAAUAUUGCACAAUGGGCGCAAGCCUGAUGCAGCGACGCCGCGUGGGGGAUGACGGCCUUCGGGUUGUAAACUCCUUUCGCUAGGGACGAAGCUUUUUGUGACGGUACCUAGAUAAGAAGCACCGGCUAACUACGUG